rnacentral:rRNA from 1 species
UACGUAGGGGGCUAGCGUUGCUCGGAUUUAUUGGGCGUAAAGAGCGUGUAGGCGGCCUGGUAGGUCUGCUGUGAAAACUCGAGGCUCAACCUCGAGAUGUCGGCGGAAACCAUCUGGCUAGAGUCCGGAAGAGGAGAGUGGAAUUCCUGGUGUAGCGGUGAAAUGCGCAGAUAUCAGGAAGAACACCUAUGGCGAAGGCAGCUCUCUGGGACGGUACUGACGCUGAAACGCGAAAGCGUGGGGAGCGAACAGG